rnacentral:rRNA from 1 species
GAACACAGUAGUUAAGCAUUUAGAGGCCGAAAGUACUUGCAUGGAGACGUGCUGGGAGGAUAGGAAGUUGCCAGUU